CUCAGGAUGAACACUAGCUACAGGCUUAACACAUGCAAGUCGAGGGGCAGCAUGGAGUCUGCUUGCAGACUCUGAUGGCGACCGGCGCACGGGUGAGUAACGCGUAUCCAACCUGCCCAUUACUCGGGCAUAGCCCAGUGAAAACUGGAUUAACUCCCGAUGCUGUUCUGAUGUGGCAUCUUAUCAGGACAAAAGGUUUACGGUAAUGGAUGGGGAUGCGUCUGAUUAGGUAGUAGGCGGGGUAACGGCCCACCUAGCCGACGAUCAGUAGGGGUUCUGAGAGGAAGGUCCCCCACACUGGAACUGAGACACGGUCCAGACUCCUACGGGAGGCAGCAGUGAGGAAUAUUGGUCAAUGGGCGCGAGCCUGAACCAGCCAAGUGGCGUGCAGGAUGACGGCCCUAUGGGUUGUAAACUGCUUUUAUACGGGAACAAUCGCAGGUACGUGUACCUGUCUGCGUGUACCGUAUGAAUAAGCAUCGGCUAACUCCGUGCCAGCAGCCGCGGUAAUACGGAGGAUGCGAGCGUUAUCCGGAUUUAUUGGGUUUAAAGGGAGCGUAGGUGGUUUGUUAAGCCAGCUGUGAAAUACUGUAGCUCAACUACAGCCGUGCAGUUGGAACUGGCAGACUUGAGUGCACAAGAGGAAGGUGGAAUUCGUGGUGUAGCGGUGAAAUGUUUAGAUAUCACGAAGAACUCCGAUUGCGAAGGCAGCCUUCUGGGGUGCAACUGACACUGAGGCUCGAAAGUGCGGGUAUCGAACAGGAUUAGAUACCCUGGUAGUCCGCACAGUAAACGAUGGAUACUCGCUGCCGGCGAUAGACAGUCGGUGGCUUAGCGAAAGCGUUAAGUAUCCCACCUGGGGAGUACGCCGGCAACGGUGAAACUCAAAGGAAUUGACGGGGGCCCGCACAAGCGGAGGAACAUGUGGUUUAAUUCGAUGAUACGCGAGGAACCUUACCCAGGCUAGAACGGCAGGAUGAAUCUUAGGAGAGACCCUUUGAGCCUUCGGGCAUCCUGUUGAGGUGCUGCAUGGUUGUCGUCAGCUCGUGCCGUGAGGUGUCGGCUUAAGUGCCAUAACGAGCGCAACCCUUGCUGCCAGUUGCCAUCGGGUCAUGCCGGGCACUCUGGCGGGACUGCCAUCGCAAGAUGUGAGGAAGGUGGGGAUGACGUCAAAUCAGCACGGCCCUUACGUCUGGGGCUACACACGUGUUACAAUGGAGGGUACAGAGGGGAGCCACCUGGCGACAGGGCGCUGAUCCCGAAAUCCCUUCUCAGUUCGGAUUGGAGUCUGUAACCCGACUCCAUGAAGCUGGAUUCGCUAGUAAUCGCGCAUCAGCCAUGGCGCGGUGAAUA
rnacentral:rRNA from 1 species